ensembl:snRNA
ACCGUGCUUUUCUUGGGGUUGUGCUGCAGUCCAGUGAGUACGUAGUGAGGGCAAUACUGCUAAUGCUUACACAACAUGUAUGCAUCAACUGGAGCUUAGCUUUACCUUGGUGCAAUUUUUGGUAAA